rnacentral:rRNA from 1 species
UACGGGGGGGGCAAGCGUUGUUCGGAAUUACUGGGCGUAAAGGGCUCGUAGGCGGCCAACUAAGUCAGACGUGAAAUCCCUCGGCUUAACCGGGGAACUGCGUCUGAUACUGGAUGGCUUGAGUUUGGGAGAGGGAUGCGGAAUUCCAGGUGUAGCGGUGAAAUGCGUAGUUAUCUGGAGGAACACCGGUGGCGAAGGCGGCAUCCUGGACCAACACUGACGCUGAGUGAGCGAAAGCCAGGGGAGCAAACGGG